rnacentral:rRNA from 1 species
UUAUGCCUACGGGAGGCAGCAGUGGGGAAUAUUGCACAAUGGGGGAAACCCUGAUGCAGCGACGCCGCGUGAGUGAAGAAGCAUUUCGGUAUGUAAAGCUCUAUCAGCAGGAACGAGACAAGACGGUACCUGACUAAGAAGCCCCGGCUGACUACGUGCCAGCAGCCGCGGUAAUACGUAGGGGGCAAGCGUUAUCCGGAAUCACUGGGUGUAAAGGGAGCGUAGACGGCUGAGCAAGCCUGAAGUGAAAGGCGGAGGCCC